rnacentral:lncRNA from 1 species
UUGACCUUCCUUCUUUGAUGUUCAAUCCUAUCAGCAGCUGACAAAGGAAGAGGAGGAGUGUCUUUUGAUGAAGAAGAAGGAAUAGAAUCACCAACAUUGGAGGAACAAUUGUUAGGGUUUGAUGAAUUUUGUCUAUUGAACUUAGUCUUUUUAAUAAACUGACCCCUUCCAACACUGCAAAACUCUUGAAGCAAUUCUUGAGUAGGUUUCAUAUAUUUUGAAUUUCUUAAAACAUUUACUACUACACUUCCAUAUCCUUGACCUUGAUUAUGACUUUGUAAUAAUUGGUAUCCAUUAAUGGUCCCUCCUCCUUGCAAUUGUAAAUUCAAUGCUUGUUGAUGAUUUAAUUUGUACGGAUAUGUUGAAGAAGAUGGUCCUCCACUUCCACCUUGAAUAUUGUAAUUAUUAUACAUAAAACUACCACCAUCUCCUCCUCCUCCUCCCAUUCGCAAUUCUUCCUCGGCUUUUGCAGCUUCCAAUGAUGAAGAUAAUGAUAAUGAAAGACCUUGAACACUUUGUCCUUCAACCGCACCUUCUUGAUGAGUAGUGGUAGUACUAUUCCAUGUGAAUUGUCCAAAAUUACCAGAAUUUGGAAAACCUUGUAAGGAAUUAUUAGGAGGGUUAGGGAGUAACAUGUGAAGAGUUGAAGAAUUUUGAUGAUGAGUUGGAGGAGGAGAAGAUGAUGAAGUUGUUGUUUGAUGAGAUUGAGAAGGGUUCAUGAGAAAAAGUUGCAUGGCAGCUGCAGAAUCAUCUGCUACAUUAAUGCUUGAAAUCUGUUGCUGAUGCUGCUGAAUCCCUUGUCUGUUAUUAUUACCAUACCAAUCAUUUUCUGAAGCUGUUGUUUGUGGUAGUUGUCUUGAAGAAGAAGAAGACGAAGAACGAAACGUCGCGGUUUCUAACAAUUCAGCUGUUGAAGGAUCAGCAAAAUUAAACAUCUCUGAUAACAUACCUGCAGUUUCAUACACACCUCCUCUUUCAUCUCCUUCUCCUUCUGAUAAAUUCAACCCUUGAAGCAGCCUAACUUUGUCCCUUUGGAUCUGUUGCUGCUGCUGUUGCUGCUGUUGUGACGACGAUGAUCUCUCGAAUCCAUUCGAGGAGAAGCCGAAGAUUGCUUGCUGAUAAUCUUGGGACAUAGAAUUUGAAGUUGAACAAUCCAAGGUUCUUUGGUUUUGGUGUGUCUUCAACUGAAUAAUGGAAGAAUAAGAAGAAGAGGAAGGAAAUGGUACUGGUGAUGCUACUCCCAUGUUAAAAUCAUCUUCCUUUCUCAGCAACUACCACCACCUCCUUAUAGUUAUUCACACCUUAUUUUAUAUAUAUACACCACUGUCCAAUAAUUCAAUUAUCAUUAAUAUUCAUAGGACAGAAAAGUAACAAAAUCCAAAAAUAGUGUAAAGAUAAAUAAUUAAAUAUGUAUAGCUAGCUAGCUAGGUAAGCCUAGUAGAAAUUAAGUGAAGAAAUAGAAAAAUGGUGAUUUUUUUUGUUUUCA